rnacentral:tRNA from 1 species
UGCCGUGUAGCUCAGUCGGCAAGAGCUCCGUACUCAUAAUGCGGCGGUCGCGGGUUCGAGUCCCGCCACGGCUACGA